rnacentral:rRNA from 1 species
GACGAACGCUGGCGGCGUGCUUAACACAUGCAAGUGGAUCGACGAACCAGGCUUCGGCCUGGGGCAGAGCCGCGAACGGGUGAGUAACACGUGGGUAACCUGCCCCGAUGACUGGGACAACCCGAGGAAACUCGGGCUAAUACCGGAUGUGCUGCUCUCGCUCAAGUGAGAGUAGGAAAGGAAGCUUCGGCCUCCGCAUCGGGAUGGGCCCGCGGCCCAUUAGCUUGGGUGAGGU